rnacentral:rRNA from 1 species
UACGUAGGGUGCGAGCGUUAAUCGGAAUUACUGGGCGUAAAGCGUGCGCAGGCGUUAUGCAAGUCAGAUGUGAAAGCCCCGGGCUUAACCUGGGACUGCGUUUGAAAACUGGGAGACUUGAGUGUGGCAGAGGGGGGGUGGAAUUCCACGUGUAGCCAGUGAAAUGCGUAGAUAUGUGGAGGAAACACCGAUGGCGAAGGCAGCCCCCCUGGGUUAACACUGACGCUCAUGCACGAAAGCGUGGGGAGCAAACAGGAUUAGAAACCCCGUG